rnacentral:rRNA from 1 species
GAUGAACGCUGGCGGCGUGCCUAAUACAUGCAAGUCGAGCGAACAGACGAGGAGCUUGCUCCUCUGACGUUAGCGGCGGACGGGUGAGUAACACGUGGAUAACCUACCUAUAAGACUGGGAUAACUUCGGGAAACCGGAGCUAAUACCGGAUAAUAUAUUGAACCGCAUGGUUCAAUAGUGAAAGACGGUUUUGCUGUCACUUAUAGAUGGAUCCGCGCCGCAUUAGCUAGUUGGUAAGGUAACGGCUUACCAAGGCAACGAUGCGUAGCCGACCUGAGAGGGUGAUCGGCCACACUGGAACUGAGACACGGUCCAGACUCCUACGGGAGGCAGCAGUAGGGAAUCUUCCGCAAUGGGCGAAAGCCUGACGGAGCAACGCCGCGUGAGUGAUGAAGGUCUUCGGAUCGUAAAACUCUGUUAUUAGGGAAGAACAAAUGUGCAAGUAACUAUGCACGUCUUGACGGUACCUAAUCAGAAAGCCACGGCUAACUACGUG